AUUGAACGCUGGCGGAAUGCUUUACACAUGCAAGUCGAGCGGCAGCGCGGUCUUCGGACUGGCGGCGAGCGGCGAACGGGUGAGUAAUACAUCGGAACAUGCCCAGUCGUGGGGGAUAACACUUCGAAAGAAGUGCUGAUACCGCAUACGUCCUGAGGGAGAAAGCGGGGGAUCGCAAGACCUCGCGCGAUUGGAGUGGCCGAUGUCAGAUUAGCUAGUUGGUGGGGUAAAGGCCUACCAAGGCAACGAUCUGUAGCUGGUCUGAGAGGAUGAUCAGCCACACUGGGACGGAGACACGGCCCAGACUCCUACGGGAGGCAGCAGUGGGGAAUUUUGGACAAUGGGGGCAACCCUGAUCCAGCCAUUCCGCGUGAGUGAAGAAGGCCUUCGGGUUGUAAAGCUCUUUCGGCAGGAACGAAACGGCGAGCUCUAACAUAGCUCGCUAAUGACGGUACCUGAAGAAGAAGCACCGGCUAACUACGUGCCAGCAGCCGCAGUAACAC
rnacentral:rRNA from 1 species